ACAUUCUCGUGAGGUGUUAUAUCACCAACAAUUGACUCAGCCAUAUCAUGCACUACGGCAAUCUUUAGACAACGUUCCUUGUUGAUGCUUGGGUCAUUACAUAACAUAGUCAAAAUCCCCAUUCUAUACAUAUGGUCGGCAAUGGAUUCCGGCUUUUCGAUGCCAUGAUAUAGCCAGCCAGUACGUGGAGUAGUCUUAAGCCUUGACAAACAAUCUAAGAAUGGAACAAUAGAUAAAGAUUUGGCUGCAUUCAUUUUGAAAGGGGAG